CGAUGUGAUCAUACCAGCACUAAAGCAACGGAUCCCAUCAGAACUCCGAAGUUAAGCGUGCUUGGGUGAGAGUAGUACUAGGAUGGGUGACCUCCUGGGAAGUCCUCGUGUUGUAUUCC
rfam:Triticum aestivum genome assembly, contig: Triticum_aestivum_CS42_TGACv1_scaffold_055572_1BS